AAAAUUUAAUUUGGUAGACGAGAGAGAAGGCGGAAGAAUAAUUCGAGAGGCAACCCAGCCAUCACGAGAAGAAAUAAGACAACAGCAACAAAACCUUCCUCAGCGUGUCGGAAUUUCUCAAGUAGAUAUAUUGUCGUUAAUAUAGUUCUUUAAGGAACCGUCAAUCUAGUUCUCGAGGAUGCCAUGUGUCCGGUUUACGAUGAGGAAUAUUUCUUAGAACCUGAAACUUAUAUGUAAAUGAUGAAAAUGGAUGGGUUGUAAACAUGACGCUAAUUAAACCCGUUUCGAUAGAGACUCAAGGAUAUUUCUCGUUGACAGGAGCAUCAAUGAAUGAAUAUGUUGUGAAUACUGGAAUCGAUGUACAAAUGAGCUUAUGUGACUUCAUUGAGGAACCUAUCAUAAUGGGCCGUGUUCUUCAAGGAUUCGGAUUGUCUGUAGACUAUUGUCCACUUGACGUUGUACCGAUAAUCGACUAUGAGAUAUAGAAGA